rnacentral:rRNA from 1 species
UACGGGGGGGGCAAGCGUUGUUCGGAAUUACUGGGCGUAAAGGGCGAGUAGGUGGCCAUCUAAGUCAGACGUGAAAUCCCCCGGCUUAACCUGGGAACUGCGUCUGAUACUGGACGGCUUGAGUAUGGGAGAGGGAUGUAGAAUUCCAGGUGUAGCGGUGAAAUGCGUAGAUAUCUGGAGGAAUACCGGUGGCGAAGGCGGCAUCCUGGACCAUUACUGACACUGAUCCGCGAAAGCUAGGGGAGCAAACGGG